rnacentral:rRNA from 1 species
AUUGAACGCUGGCGGCAGGCCUAACACAUGCAAGUCGAGCGGAUGAAGGGAGCUUGCUCCUGGAUUCAGCGGCGGACGGGUGAGUAAUGUAUAGGAAUCUGCCUGGUAGUGGGGGAUAACGUCCGGAAACGGGGGCUAAUACGGCAUAAGUCCAGAGGGAGAACGUGGGGGAUCUUCGGACCUUACGCUAUUAGAUGAGCCUAGGUCGGAUUAGCUAGUUGGUGGGGUAAAGGCCUACCAAGGCGACGAUCCGUAACUGGUCUGAGAGGAUGAUCAGUCACACUGGAACUGAGACACGGUCCAGACUCCUACGGGAGGCAGCAGUGGGGAAUAUUGGACAAUGGGCGAAAGCCUGAUCCAGCCAUGCCGCGUGUGUGAAGAAGGUCUUCGGAUUGUAAAGCACUUUAGGUUGGGAGGAAAGGCAGUAAGUUAAUACCUUGCUGUUUUGACGUUACCAACAGAAUAAGCACCGGCUAACUUCGUG